GCUGGCAUAGCUCAGUUGGCAGAGCAGCCGCCUUGUAAGCGGCAGGUCGUCAGUUCGACUCUGACUGCCAGCACCA
rnacentral:tRNA from 1 species